UACGAAGGGGGCUAGCGUUGCUCGGAAUCACUGGGCGUAAAGCGCACGUAGGCGGUCUUUUAAGUCAGGGGUGAAAUCCUGGAGCUCAACUCCAGAACUGCCUUUGAUACUGGGAGACUUGAGUCCGGGAGAGGUGAGUGGAACUGCGAGUGUAGAGGUGAAAUUCGUAGAUAUUCGCAAGAACACCAGUGGCGAAGGCGGCUCACUGGCCCGGUACUGACGCUGAGGUGCGAAAGCGUGGGGAGCAAACAGG
rnacentral:rRNA from 1 species